CCCGGCCGCUCCGCUCGCCCGGCCGCGCCGCUCGCCCACCGCACCCGGCCGCGCCCACAGCGCAGAGGACGACGUCCUCAACAUCCUCGGUGAAAGCUUCAGCUGCGCCUUCUGCUUGGAGCUGCUGGAUCGCCCUGUCACUGCUGGAUGUGCUUUCGCGAUUUGUUCCCAGUCCGAUCCGUCUGCUUGGUCUGAUCUCUUGCAUCCCCACGGAUCUGCGUUCCUCUUCACAAGAGUAGAGCUGUUGGAGGGUAGCCGGAGCACCUAGACGACCCUGUCGGCGCUGCGGUCUUACCUACACUGCGCUUCUCAUUAUUCAAAUAUUCAAAUAUUAUUCGAAUAUUAUGGUAAUGUUGUAGGCCCAGGUCCAGGCUUUAGAGGCCCAGCGGGAGGCCGAUCGACAGAGGAUAGAGGCUAUGGAGGUCCAGCGUAUGGAGGAGCAGCAUCGACAACAACAGCAGAUGGCGGAGAUUCUACGGUACAUGCAAUCUCUUGGGCAACAUACGGGUUUAGCUGCGCCACCUUCGCUAUUUGCUAUUCCUCCACCUCCACCUCCACCUUCCGCGCGCGGUACUCCUCCUCCAUCCGCCGGUUCGAAUAUUCCAGGUCAUGGUACACCACAGUCGCAGUGGGGACCUUGGGGAGCCGGGUAGUUCUCUUUGCAUGUGUUUGUUCGGUUGGUACACCACAGUCGCAGUGUCAUGGUACAACACAGUCGCAGUUCUCUUACAAUGCACUUGUGUUACUUAUUUGGACUUGUGAUGGACUUGUGGAUUUAUUUAGAUGGACUUGUAAUGAACUUGUGGAUUUGUACUUAUGGAUUUGUUUAAAUGUGACAUUUAUGUGA